rnacentral:rRNA from 1 species
UAGCUAACCUUCCCUAACGUCUGCAAUAACCUCGGGAAACUGAGGCUAACGGUAGAUAGAAGAUUUUUUCUGGAAUGAUUAAUCUUCGAAAGUUCACGUUAGGAUGGGGCUGCGGCUGAUUAGGUAGUUGGCGGGGUAAAUGCCCACCAAGCCAGUGAUCAGUAAGGGCCUUUAGCGAGGAAGCCCUGAGAGGGAAUCUUAGACACUAUUCCCAGCCCUACGGGGUGCAGCAGGUAGGAAAAUUCUGCAAUACACGCAAGUGUGACAGAGCAAGCCAGAGUGAUUUUCAUAUAAUUUGAAAAUCUUUUGCGGGAUGCAAAAAGUCCCGAGAAUAAGGACCGGGCAAGACUGGUGCCAGCCGCCGCGGUAAUCCCAGCGGUCCAAGUCGCAGCCACAAUUAUUGGGUCUAAAACAUCCGUAGCUUGCUUUGCAAGUUUCUUGUGAAAUCGGGAAUCUUAAGUUUCCGGCGAGCAAGAAAUACUGCUUAGCUUGAGACCGGGAGAUGCAAGGAGUACGUUAGGAGUAGCGGUAAAAUGCGUUGAUCCUUAACGGACUAACAACAGCGAAGGCACCUUGCAAGAACGGAUCUGACAGUGAGGGAUGAAGGCUAGGGGCGCAAAGUGGAUUAGAUACCCAUGUAGUCCUAGCAGUAAACACUGCACACUAAACAUUGGGGCCUCUUCGGGAGGUUCCAGUGCUGUAAAGAAGUCGGAGAGUGUGCUACCUGGGAAGUAUAGUCGCAAGACUGAAACUUAAAGGAAUUGGCGGGGGAGCACAA